AAAUUGAAGAGUUUGAUCAUGGCUCAGAUUGAACGCUGGCGGCAGGCCUAACACAUGCAAGUCGAACGGUAACAGAAAGCAGCUUGCUGCUUUGCUGACGAGUGGCGGACGGGUGAGUAAUGUCUGGGAAACUGCCUGAUGGAGGGGGAUAACUACUGGAAACGGUAGCUAAUACCGCAUAACGUCGCAAGACCAAAGAGGGGGACCUUCGGGCCUCUUGCCAUCGGAUGUGCCCAGAUGGGAUUAGCUAGUAGGUGGGGUAAUGGCUCACCUAGGCGACGAUCCCUAGCUGGUCUGAGAGGAUGACCAGCCACACUGGAACUGAGACACGGUCCAGACUCCUACGGGAGGCAGCAGUGGGGAAUAUUGCACAAUGGGCGCAAGCCUGAUGCAGCCAUGCCGCGUGUAUGAAGAAGGCCUUCGGGUUGUAAAGUACUUUCAACGGGGAGGAAGGGAGUAAAGUUAAUACCUUU
rnacentral:rRNA from 1 species